UACAGAGGGGGCAAGCGUUGUCCGGACUUACUGGGUGUAAAGCGCAUGCAGGUGGCCUGGCAAGUGUGCUGUGAAAGCCCCGUGCUUAACACGGGGAGGCCAGUACAGACUGCCAAGCUCGAGGACUGCAGAGGGUAGGGGAAUUGCUGGUGUAGUGGUGAAAUGCUUAGAUAUGACAUAGAACACCAAUUGCGCAGGCAGCUUACUACACAGUAAUUGACACUGAGGCACGAAAGCGUGGGGAUCAAACAGG
rnacentral:rRNA from 1 species